rnacentral:rRNA from 1 species
CUACGGGGCGCACCAGUGGGGAAUCUUGGACAAUGGGCGCAAGCCUGAUCCAGCCAUGCCGCGUGAGUGAAGAAGGCCUUAGGGUCGUAAAGCUCUUUCGCCAGAGAUGAUAAUGACAGUAUCUGGUAAAGAAACCCCGGCUAACUCCGUGCCAGCAGCCGCGGUAAUACGGAGGGGGUUAGCGUUGUUCGGAAUUACUGGCGUAAAGCGCGCGUAGGCGGAUUAGUCAGUCAGAGGUGAAAUCCCAGGGCUCAACCCUGGAACUGCCUUUGAUACUGCUAGUCUUGAGUUCGAGAGAGGUGAGUGGAAUUCCGAGUGUAGAGGUGAAAUUCGUAGAUAUUCGGAGGAACACCAGUGGCGAAGGCGGCUCACUGGCUCGAUACUGACGCUGAGGUGCGAAAGUGUGGGGAGCAAACAGGAUUAGAUACCCCAGUAGUC